UACGAAGGGGGCUAGCGUUGUUCGGAAUUACUGGGCGUAAAGCGCACGUAGGCGGAUCGAUCAGUCAGGGGUGAAAUCCCAGGGCUCAACCCUGGAACUGCCUUUGAUACUGUCGAUCUGGAGUAUGGAAGAGGUGAGUGGAAUUCCGAGUGUAGAGGUGAAAUCCGUAGAUAUUCGGAGGAACACCAGUGGCGAAGGCGGCUCACUGGUCCAUUACUGACGCUGAGGUGCGAAAGCGUGGGGAGCAAACAGG
rnacentral:rRNA from 1 species